rnacentral:rRNA from 1 species
GACGAACCGUGCGAACGUUGUUCGGAAUCACUGGGCUUAAAGGGCGCGUAGGUGGUCUGUCAAGUCGGGGGUGAAAUCUUUCGGCUCAACCGGAAAACUGCCUUCGAUACUGGCAGACUAGAGGGAGGUAGGGGUUGCGGGAACUACCAGUGGAGCGGUGAAAUGCGUUGAUAUUGGUAGGAACGCCGGUGGCGAAAGCGCGCAACUGGAUCUCUUCUGACACUGAGGCGCGAAAGCUAGGGGAGCAAACGGG